rnacentral:tRNA from 1 species
UUCCUGGUAGCUCAGAUGGUAAAGCGUCUGCCUACAAUGCAGGAGACCUGGGUUUGAUCCCUGGGUUGGGAA